AUAUUGCACAAUGGGGGAAACCCUGAUGCAGCGACGCCGCGUGGAGGAAGAAGGUCUUCGGAUUGUAAACUCCUGUUGUUGAGGAAGAUAAUGACGGUACUCAACAAGGAAGUGACGGCUAACUACGUGCCAGCAGCCGCGGUAAAACGUAGGUCACAAGCGUUGUCCGGAAUUACUGGGUGUAAAGGGAGCGCAGGCGGGAAGACAAGUUGGAAGUGAAAUCUAUGGGCUCAACCCAUAAACUGCUUUCAAAACUGUUUUUCUUGAGUAGUGCAGAGGUAGGCGGAAUUCCCGGUGUAGCGGUGGAAUGCGUAGAUAUCGGGAGGAACACCAGUGGCGAAGGCGGCCUACUGGGCACCAACUGACGCUGAGGCUCGAAAGUGUGGGUAGCAAACAGGAUUAGAUACCCUGGUAGUCCACACCGUAAACGAUGAUUACUAGGUGUUGGAGGAUUGACCCCUUCAGUGCCGCAGUUAACACAAUAAGUAAUCCACCUGGGGAGUACGACCGCAAGGUUGAAACUCAAAGGAAUUGACGGGGGCCCGCACAAGCAGUGGAGUAUGUGGUUUAAUUCGAAGCAACGCGAAGAACCUUACCAGGUCUUGACAUCCGAUGCAUAACACAGAGAUGUGUGAAAUCCUUCGGGACAUCGAGACAGGUGGUGCAUGGUUGUCGUCAGCUCGUGUCGUGAGAUGUUGGGUUAAGUCCCGCAACGAGCGCAACCCUUAUUGCCAGUUACUACGUUAAGAGGACUCUGGCGAGACUGCCGUUGACAAAACGGAGGAAGGUGGGGAUGACGUCAAAUCAUCAUGCCCUUUAUGACUUGGGCUACACACGUACUACAAUGGCGUUAAACAAAGAGAAGCAAGACCGCGAGGUGGAGCAAAACUCAAAAACAACGUCUCAGUUCAGAUUGCAGGCUGCAACUCGCCUGCAUGAAGUCGGAAUUGCUAGUAAUCGCGGAUCAGCAUGCCGCGGUGAAUACGUUCCCGGGCCUUGUACACACCGCCCGUCACACCAUGAGAGUCGGGAACACCCGAAGUCCGUAGCCUAACCGCAAGGAGGGCGCGGCCGAAGGUGGGUUCGAUAAUUGGGGUGAAGUCGUAACAAGGUAGCCGUUCGAGAACGAGCGGCUG
rnacentral:rRNA from 1 species